AACUGAGCUUGGAUAAGCUCGGAAGCCCCAUGGAUUUGAACCUUGGACCUCUGGUGUCCCCAGAGGUCCAUGGUUCAAAUCCAUGCCCCGCUACCA
rnacentral:tRNA from 1 species